AGACAUCCAAGUGACUUCUUGUAUUGGUCACGCUCAGUACCCUUUUUGUCCAACAAGCACCUGCACUAUCACUUCAAUGUCCCUACACUGUGGACUCAAGUCUCGUCCAUCCAGAAGGAAAGUGAUCUGUGCACUGAUCGGAUCGAUCACCGUCCUCGUGAUGAUCCAUUGAUCAGGAGCAUUUAGAAAUUAAUCACCAAUGAUACAUGGCUCAAAUUCUCAACUCUUGAGAAUAUGCAUCAUCAUCUUAUUAAUUUCUUGGACGAUUCAUAGACAUAUAAAUAAUAUGAAUGAAAAGAUGCCUUUUAUUUAUUCAAUAAUAAAUAGUCAAGUACAAAAUUAUGUCCCUAGAAUUAACAAUGUGUCAGCCAGAUUGGCUUCUAGGGCAUACAUCUAACAGUAGGAACACUGAAGUGAUAGUGCAGGUGCUUGUUAGAGAACAAGGGUACUGAGCAUGACCAAGACAAUAAGUCACUUGGAUGUCUAUCCACUCGUCAGUGACUUUCUUGAUGUUGCAGUAGUAUGACUGGUCCUUUGACCUGCGGUGCUUCGGUUACUCACAGUGAGGUUAUUGUAGUUUGACUACACGUAUACAUAGUCUCUAGUCAUAUGGGUCCUUGUAGUGUAGAUUGGCUGCAGUAGGUUCACUGUAGGAGUAGGGUAUGCACUUACAUGGAAUCUAUCGACCUUGAUAGAAGAGGAGUGAUCCUAUAUGAUUUAUUAGACUGAGUUCUAAGACCUUGGCCAGGGUAGUAAUAUAAAGUGGAGAAAGAGUUUUC
rnacentral:lncRNA from 1 species